UGCCUUUGUGUUGCCCUUUCAAUGCAUCAGUCGUGAACAGGGUGUCAACAAAGGCAGAUAUUGAUUCUUGCAGCUGUGACAGAAAUUCAUCAUCAGCGAUGCGUUUCUACACCGUGUGCUGCAAGCACAAAC